UCCAGACUCCUACGGGAGGCAGCAGUGGGGGAUAUUGCACAAUGGGUGAAACCCUGAUGCAGCGACGCCGCGUGGGCGAAGAAGUAUUUCGGUAUGUAAAGCCCUAUCAGCAGGGAAGAAGAAAUGACGGUACCUGAGUAAGAAGCACCGGCUAAAUACGUGCCAGCCGCCGCGGUAAUACGUAUGGUGCAAGCGUUAUCCGGAUUUACUGGGUGUAAAGGGAGCGCAGGCGGCACGGCAAGCCUGAUGUGAAAGCCCGCGGCCCAACCGCGGGACUGCAUUGGGAACUACCGGGCUGGAGUGCCGGAGAGGUAGGCGGAAUUCCUGGUGUAGCGGUGAAAUGCGUAGAUAUCAGGAGGAACACCGGUGGCGAAGGCGGCCUGCUGGACUGCAACUGACGUUGAGGCCCGAAGGCGUGGGGAGCAAACAGGAUUAGAUACCCCGGUAU
rnacentral:rRNA from 1 species